GGUAAAGCUUAAGGGUGAUAGAGCUCAGAGAAUUCCAACAAAUACUGAGAAAUUGUUUUCUCUUUUUACUCAUUUUAAUUGUCUGUCCUAAAAAAAAAAAUCUGGUGGGCUGGAAAAUCAAAACAAACCUUACCGAAAGUGAAAAUACCAGCACAGACUUGGUAGCAGCAGCUGUGAACUAUAGAACUCAGAAUGAAUUCCUCAAGAAGGAUACAAGCUCUUCGCACUCACAGGCAGAAAGAUUCCAUAUGCAGAGGAAAGAACUGGCCUAGCUCAUGUGCUUUUACACAAGAAUGGGGUCAUGAUGAAUUGGCUACCUACACCAUGAUUCUGAUGAUCGUUCUUAUAGCAUUCUGGGGUACAUGGACAAAAAGAGAUCUCGGCGUAUAGCUUUUAAACUGCACUGUGUAUACAGAAGAAGUUCAAGUGAACUUGGUGCAAAUCACAGGAAUUGUGAAAAUGAAGUUCACCCAGAUUUUAGCCGUGAGCAGGAGAAAGAGAUGCAGCAAUGCAUGAUUCAUUCUGAGAAAUGAAAGAACAGAAAAGUGAUGAUCAACAACAUGAAAACCAACAAACAAGAAAUGUGGUAUAGCAUAAGUAAAUAUUGCAGUAAUAAGGCUACAUACCCACACAAUGCAUGGGGACAUCAGCCAUAUUUUUCUCAAGGCUGCUAAUGUGUUUUGCAAGGCUCUUGCCUGUAUGCUGAAAAUGUCUGGCAACAUUUGCCAAGACUUUAUUUUGUAAAUCCCCCUGCCAUAUGAUGAACUAAAUAAAAAUGCUGGAAUCCUUCUCAUAUUCCUAUUAGCUCCAAUGCUAAAAGCUCCCCAGUGUAAACAAAAAAAGAAUGUAGAAACAUUAUAAAUUAAUCACAUGGGAAAUGUUAUUUAGAGCUUCUGAGUGCUUUGCAGAAACUUUAAUGUAGAAGCCAUAGUGUUAAAUUCUAGUACACAGCAGGACAGACUGCACCCAAAGAUAUUCUACAACUCUAAGAUGCACUACAUUUUUCAGGUUGUUAGGUACUGUCAAGGUACUGUGAAUUUUUUUUUUCUUUCAAAGAGGUACUAUGAAUCUGAGUGCUGGAUAAUCAGUUAGGUUGAAUUAUUUUUUAGUUAAGUUUAUUUCUGAAAUUAUAUGUCUCACUAGGUCUUCAAGGGGACUUGAAGUGCACAGUCAUUUUUACAUAUUUUAUAAAGACCACAUUAUGGUCAAGAUGUAAUGUUUGGUUCUGAAACCAAUUAAAGGGGUCUUUGUUUUGAGUGUAGCUUAAUUUCCAACAGUGCUGACUGGUAUUUUUAGCUGUAGUUUAGAAUUAACAUUUCUAAAACAUAAUACAAUUUUUAAUAGGCACCGUAGUGCUGUUAUGGAAACUACAAGCUGUUUCCUUUUUAUGAAGAAAAGAAAGAUUUAUUGUUAUAACAGAUGUUCAGGGCAAGUAUAUGUGUGUGCAUUAAAGUAUGCAUGUACACAGAGGUGCAUGUGGGUACAUAUGUAGCACAUGUUUGUGUGACAGAGAUGGAGAGUGGUCGGUAUUCUGCCACAGAAUGCCUUUGACCUGGUCAUCUGGUACUAAGGCAGGACAACCAUUUCUACCCUUAGUGCUCAAGGAGCAGUUAUUGGUCCUGGAUUCAGAGGGCUUUUUAAGUGGAACUAGGAACAAAUGCUUAAUAGCAUGCUUGCCCAUCAUGGAAGGGUGUAUACAAAAUUCAGUUGCAUCAAGACUGACUUCUGGUAGACGCCACACUUUUCAGCAUACUGUUUCAUGAUACUCCCACAUUAACAUGAGUAUAUAGAAGAUAUAUUCAUUUACAUAGGAUGGAUACUGCAUGAAGGGGGAUAGUGGCUAGUUAAAGGUUGCACAUAAUGUUUCUACAAUAAGUUUGGGGGUACCUCCUUCAGUACUCACUCCAAUGGGAACAAAUGGGGAACUUGGGCAGUGAGUGGCUUCUCAUUCAGCAUUCCUGUAGGUAAGUUGUUAGUCCCCUAAAUACUCUUAUGUGUAUGUCCCAUGUAAGUGUGUAUGCAACCAUGUGUGCAUGUCUGUGUUUGUGUGUGCAUGCACACAUACAUGUGUCUGUGUUGGUGUAUGAGCGCAUACAUGCAUGUGUUUGUGUGUACAUAUAUGUAUGUAUGUUUAAGUUUGGGCUGGAAUAGGUUCCAGCUCCCUAGUGACUCUGUAAUGGACUAAGUGGGUAAUUGGAGAAUGAACAAAUAUAUGUGGAUAUAUAUGUAUGCGUUUAUGUAGACAGAUACAGACACACUGAGCAUGCAUUAAUAGUAUUAUUUUGCUCCUGGACCUCUCAUGACAAUACAUUCAUGUCACCUAAUCUUCCAUCAUUAACAGAUACUUACACAAUGAGUGGUUCUUUCAUUGUACAACUUUUCCUUCAUUGUCACCACUUCACAUUUGCUUUUAAGUGAUUUAAUAUGGUUAACACUGUAAACUUUGUACCCAAACUCACCUAAUGUGAAUUGUUUUAAAGUAGUAUAGAAAGAAUAUAUAGUACACAUUGACAGGGAAGUGGUUAGUUUGCGUAUCUCAGGGUUUGUGUAAUGGUGUAUUAC